UAAGGAAUAUUGGUCAAUGGACGCAAGUCUGAACCAGCCAUGCCGCGUGGAGGAUUAAGGCCCUCUGGGUUGUAAACUCCUUUUAUCUGGGAAGAAAUCCAUAUAUUCUUAUGUGGUUGACGGUACCAGAGGAAUAAGCACCGGCUAACUCCGUGCCAGCAGCCGCGGUAAUACGGAGGGUGCAAGCGUUAUCCGGAUUCACUGGGUUUAAAGGGUGCGUAGGCGGGUAAGUAAGUCCGUGGUGAAAUCUCUGAGCUUAACUCAGAAACUGCCGUGGAUACUAUUUGCCUUGAAUAUUGUGGAGGUGAGCGGAAUAUGUCAUGUAGCGGUGAAAUGCUUAGAUAUGACAUAGAACACCAAUUGCGAAGGCAGCUCACUACACAAUCAUUGACGCUGAGGCACGAAAGCGUGGGGAUCAAACAGGAUUAGAUACCCCCGUAGUCC
rnacentral:rRNA from 1 species